UUUAGAUCAACAUACAUGUGGGUCCCAGACUCAGAUCCUGAUACCGAUGCUGACUUUCCCUAUGGCUUAAGAACAAGGAUCUAUGAGGAACACAAGCCUUUAUCUCAUGCAUGCUGAAUACAAUCUGUUCACUCAGAGCCACAUGAGAGGAGGGAAUAGUGCCUGCUAGGAUCCAGCUCUCAAAAUGUGUGAACAGUGGACAGGAUCACCCACUCCACUUUGGAUAGUGUUGAUCACUGUGAAUUCUCACUGAAUGCAAAACAAUGAUGAGUCAAAUCCUGCCAUAUAAGCCGGAUGAAAUAUUCCCACUUAAUAGUAACGUCUGAGUAAAAUCUUAAACUGUCACCCAGGCAGUUUGCCUUCUCUUCAUCUUAACUUAAGAAAAUGCAUAUCCUAGAACACACAUCUAAAGUGACACAGAGCUUCAAUAAGUGAACACAGACAUCCUUUGAAGUCUCCUCAAUCCUUCCAAGUCCUCAGGCCAUUUCAAAGUGUGUUCUGGGAAAGGAAUAAGUGCAAGAGUUGGACCACCUGCCUUGGCACCAGAACAGUGACCUAAUUGUCCCUUCCCAAAUAUACAAAGAAGGCAGGAAGCAGUUUCAGUUUCUUAAUUCCAGUUUUGUGAAGGCAUCUCCCUACUUGCCUGAGCUCACUGUUGCUGUUCAAGGAAGAGACAGAUUCUUUACACAGCCUUUCUUUUGAGCAUUUCCUAUCAACUAGCUCCUGUCUUCAUAAGGUGCCCUGUGUUUGGCACUUACCUCUCUUCAGAACUUGGAUGCCUCAUUUGAAUUAUGCUCUCUCACCAAACAGCUCCAGCUAUCAUAAAAUCUAAAUCCCCCGUUCUUAUUCCAAAUCCCAGGACUGGACAACCUCUAUAUUUUCUAUAUUAAUUGAAGAUAGGCAAAGGUGUGGGGAAGCUGGGAGCAGAAGAAAAUGAAUUAUACUGAAUGACAUUAACAUACAUUAUUAAUAGAAGAAUAUGAUGAAAAUAAAAACAUAGUAACUGAAUCAAUUGAGAUGACUUGUGACCAGGUUGGAUGGGGCCGCAGGCAGUGUGAUCUAGUAUUAGAUAUGGAGGUUGGCGGCCCUGCCUGCAGCAGGGGGAUUGGAGCUAAAUGAUCCUUGAGGACACUUCCAACCCAAGCCAUUCUACAGUUCUAUGAUUAUGAUUCUAUUACUUAUGGAGAGAGUGUUAGGAGGAAGAGCAAGAAGGAGAUCAUAGGUGGAAAAGACUUAGAAGGAAGGAAAAUUGGAAAGAUAAGCAAACAGAAUGAGGAAAAAAACCAACAGAAGAAAUUAGUAGAAUCAUAAAAUAAUUCUGAAGAAAAUCAGGUUGAAGAAAUGCCACAAUAAAGCCUGAGCUGAGCUGUUUUGAGGUCUGUUCCCUGUUGUAGAUAUCUGUACAUUUAGCUCUGAACUUUCUCAAGUGUUUGAUUCCACUUAACUGAACUGGAACGCUCUAAUACUGUACACUACCUCAUAGAGAUUGACAAAAAAAGUGUUGAC
ensembl:lncRNA